UUGAACGCUGGCGGCAUGCUUUACACAUGCAAGUCGAACGGCAGCGGGGGCUUCGGCCUGCCGGCGAGUGGCGAACGGGUGAGUAACAUAUCGGAACGUACCCAGACGUGGGGGACAACUAGUCGAAAGACUAGCUAAUACCGCAUACGUCCUGAGGGAGAAAGCGGGGGAUCGCAAGACCUCGCGCGUUUGGAGCGGCCGAUAUCUGAUUAGCUAGAUGGUGGGGUAAAGGCUCACCAUGGCGACGAUCAGUAGCUGGUCUGAGAGGAUGAUCAGCCACACUGGAACUGAGACACGGUCCAGACUCCUACGGGAGGCAGCAGUGGGGAAUUUUGGACAAUGGGGGAAACCCUGAUCCAGCCAUUCCGCGUGAGUGAAGAAGGCCUUCGGGUUGUAAAGCUCUUUCGGCAGGAACGAAACGGCGGAUACUAAUAUUAUCCGUUACUGACGGUACCUGAAGAAGAAGCACCGGCUAACUACGU
rnacentral:rRNA from 1 species